UAAAGGCUUGCACUUUUCUAGUCUGUAGCACUUAUAAAGUUAUCACAGCUUAAACGGAGUGUCACAUUAAAAACAGUUUUCAGGUCACCUGAGCCAUAGUGAUAGAUGUCUUUGAGGACCACUUCUGCCAAGUUGUGCUUCUCUAGAUUCUUCUGUGCCUGAAGGCUUGCAGAGAGUGCUUGGAAAAUACUUGCUAGACUUCUCCAGCUAUGGAAGGGUUUCUAAUGAUUUCUUAAGAGGGACCACACUUUGAGCUAUGCAGCUCAAGAGAGCUUAAAGAAAAAAUUAGCAGGGAAGUUGUCAGAGCUUUGAACAGAGCAGCCCAUGAAGACUGGGUACAUUGAGAUAAGAGCAAAGGAUAGAAUACCUGACUUUCUUGCCAGGAACAUUAAUUUAACUGGAGUUCAUACCGCAAGAGAAGCAUGUUCAACUGGAAAAGAGAUGGUGGAAAUCAGAAAAGAAUUAGUUUCAACAUUUUCUAAGAAAACAAGCAGAAAGUUUGAUAUCUGAAUUUAUGUUACAGAAGGAAUUCUUUCUGUUCCCAGGUCAGUAAAUCGCUCUAACAGCCCUUCACAACAUUGGUAGAACAUCACCAGUGAGAAUAGCCCUCAUUUAAUGUUGGCAGUAAGUUAAGACAUCUCACUGCUGAUCCACACAAAUACAUCCUAAUCACAGGAGGCCAACCAACCUGCCAACCCAGCUCUCCAGGUGAUUCAAAUGAAGAAAUCAGAAGAAAAGAGUCUGUUUCAGGUGCUGCAGAUGUGUGAAGUAACGAUCCAGCCAAAAUGGUGUCUGUGGCAAAAUAGCAGGGAGAAAUUUCCUAAGGAUCUCUGAAUAUGUCCUUGUGCUGCUUCAGACCCCUUCCAUGGAAAAGAGCUGUGAUUCCAGGAUGGAAGACAAGAAAAAUCUGCUGCCUAAAGGGAAGCAGCAAUCUGUGAGCUGCCUGCCUGCGAGAGAACAGACAGACAGUCAAGAUCCCUGUACUAGUGAGUGCCCAGAAGUCUGCUGCCACUGCAGGGCAUUGGUGCCUGGCAUACACUUGGUUAAGGCCUGAACUGCUGCCUGCUACACCUCUGAAAAGGAAUGAGAACAAACUUGUCAGCAGCUGUCUCCAGUGGUGCUUGUGGGUUUGCUUUGUGUUGCAGGCUCGUAUUGUGAGACCAGACUGCAGAUGUUUUCAGGGACAGUGUAAAUACUACAGCAGUUAGAUCAGCUCCAUUUUUCAAGUUUCUCUAAUGUUUUAUAUUCUGACACGUGAAAUUGGCUUUUAAUUGCUCCUAUGCAGUGGGUCUGUUUUCCUUUGCCUAGAGAGAAUAAAUGGAGACUGGAGCCUCUAAAGUGGUCUGAUAUCAGCCUGAGCUGAGGGACACAAACACACAGCAGGAAUGGCAAAAGAAUGACCCUGGUUUCAUUACACAGGAAGGCUCUAAGAACUUAAACUGUACAAUAUGUAUAAUGUACUAAGUCCAAUAUCUUAGCAACUGAAUUCAACAUCAUAACUGGAAUCAGUAAGAAAACAUAACAAUUGGAUUUAAAAUGAAUCCAUACCUCUGAAGUUGCAUACACACAAUCUAUAUACCAUAAUACAUUAAUAGGAAGACUGCAUUUUGUACUUAGGAUUAUAAAUUGUUCACUUGGAAGUGCUUGAAGUUAGCAGCAGAUAGAAAGCAAAGAUAAAGUUCAGAAAAUGUGGGUCUCCAGGAUUAAUAUGCUUUAAAAUAUACCUAAUGUAUACUCUGAGUUCAGCACGUGUUGUUCACAUGGAAUAUUUUUAGUGGGAUGGGACAUUCCUCAAGAUACUGAGAGAAUGAGGUAGUCAUCACUCUCGACCAGAAUUCUUGUAUACAGAAAUUAAAUGAACUUGGCAAAACUCUUGUGCUACAACUAUGGCUACACGGUCAUUUUAACAGCACAUGCAUUUGUGAGAAAGAAAAUUAAUCUGAAGUUCUGCAUCACUACAGCGGAGUUUGAUGGCAAAUAAAGCCUCAGACAAUGAAUGUCUGUGAAUGAAAAAGAAUUACUUAUUAAAAAAUGUUCGCUGAAUUGUUUCUAUUAGCACUACACAUGAUUUUCUGAAAGUGCAACGAAAUUUUGGCUGCAAAAAUGAAACAUGAAAUUCCCACUGCCUGCCAGUUUUAAUCAAAUAUAGAACUCAGCUUGAAGGCUGAAAUGGUGCUGUGGGGAAGUAGGGCUGGCUGUCUCCCAUUAAAGGCCUGCAAGCGUUUUUUUGUUGUUAAGUUUGUGUGAAGCCUUGGAGUCUUAUCUGACUCCUCACUGAGUCUGGAUGACUGGGCAGCAUCCCAAAAAUACCUUCUCACAUGUUUAGCUUUAUGGGAGUUUCAUUCCUGUCUCCCGCCGAGGCCCCAAUAUCCUCUGCAUUUGUUACCUGGCGGCUGUGUUAUUGCAGCCUCCUGUUCCUGAAGCUGGAUGUAAGACAACGUGCCAGCUCCAGAUGCGGCAGAAAGAGGCUGUCUGCCUUGUGCUUACCUUACAUCGCUGCAAUUGCCUCAUGCCAGGUCCUUCUUUCAGCUCCAGGUGAUUCCUGAUGCCAGAUUAGGGCCUUGGUGAAUGAAGCCCCACUGCAGCCAAAAGCCACUGAGGCUCAGAACAAAGCCUUCAGGAGCUAGGGACAAAACACCUCUUUGGAAGUAAUUUAGUACUGGGAAAACUUUCAAUUCAUAUCAGAUAAAGACAGAAUCCGACCAUCUUUAGAAAACAAAGGAAACCUUCCUCACAAAGAAUGCUUUCCAUCAGAAGCACAGCUUGCUUCAAAUUUCAAGCUCUUUCAUUUGCCUUCUUAGAAAAACAACAAACACUGACUGAAAUUUGUCCCCCCAAAUGCAGAAAUGCUAUAUACUGCAGAGUCAGCAGCUAUUUUUGCUAGGGCUGUUGGCCGACAUGUAGGCUACAUUAUGAGGGCAAGAACUCACCAGUUUCAGGAUGAGGUAAAACGGUAAAAUAUGUUCAGCUUUAAAUUUCUAAUUCCUGACACCGAAGACAGAAGACACAAAUCACUGGCUUGGUGCGAACUGACUUGACCAAUGCAAGUUCUGAUGGGUAUGCCUUGCAACAGCAGGCUUCAAGUUUAAUCAGGUACUGGCUUUUACCACACUUCCAGCACAAAGCUAUCAGGAAAGCAUAAAGCCAAAAUAAACUCUCUAUCAUGUGCUCUGCCAAACUUGGCAGAAAAGGGACCCUGUGCCCAGGCCUAAUUUAAGUCCAAGUCACUGCUAGAUAACAACGCUGAGCUGUAAUUCAACAGUAAUGGUUGUGGUGCUAGAGAAUAGUAGGUUUUUUAAUUGUAUUUUAACCAUUGCUUGGCUAUAGUCUUGCUGUUGCUAUAGUCUGAGGGCAAUAGACUAUAGAGGACUAUAAGGGCAAUAGCAAUAGGGUCCUCCUCAACCUCUUUUAGAUUUAUACAUAUGUAUAUGUAUGUAUCACCAUGUCAUCAUAUGUUUGUAUGGGCUCUAUCAAAUGUGGAAGGAAGUUGAUGUAUGAUAAAAGAUCAGCUAAAAAGUCAGCACAUAUUUUACUUAGUGUCCGCAUAAAAAUUCUCCUGUCAGAUCACAGAUCAAACCAAAUGCACUAUCUCAUUAACAAAGUAUCUCAUGAGACAUAAUUUAAAGGCUGCUGCCAUUUCUAACCAGAGGUCUCACCCACCAGUCGCAAAUCUCUGUGCUUCUUUAAGAUUUCUUUUCAAACUGACACCUCCAUUGUUUUCAAAGUCUUCCGUAGUUCUCCUCCCUGUUUGCUGUUCAAUCUGGCUGAUGGUCAUCUUUCUCUGUAACCCUAUCAACUGGGGUCAGGUGGAAGUCUUCCUCUGUGGCAGUGUGGGGCAUUGGGUUGUGUUCAAAGACGUUUGCAGAGAUUUAAACAGCACAUCCUGUGAAUUUGAGUCUUCAACGCAUCACAGCACUGUGCUUAUGGUGGAGAAGCAUGGCAACAUGCAUCCCUCUUGAUUCAGAUUUCAUAGGAACAGCAUAGAAUGUCUCCUAAAAGUAUCUGCCAGUCAGUCAUUGAUGACGUAGUAGUAUAUCCCUCUCCUUGAUUACCUUUCUGAGGCACUGUGGUUCCAGGUCCUGCAGUAGUUGAGCACUUGAGGCCUUCUGCUGGAAGGAGUUUUGAGAUGAUGACUAUUUUUAUCAUUGUGAAAUUACUAAUGGUUCCAGUGCUAUGCAGGUGAGUGAUGCGAGUUAUGCAGCACAGCUUGAUGUGUAGAAGGAAGCAGUACUGUGUUCAGACAGCCAGAAAGCUAGAAAUCACGAAAAAAAGAAUCAGAUAGAGAAACAGGAAAUGUCUGUGGAAAAACAGACAUACAGGACCUCUAGUUCUUCCAUAAUCUUCCAGGAGAAGCCCGAGCAAAGAAUUCAACUUCUUGUAGAGUGGAGUUUUAUCAAUUAAAAGAAUUUAAUGAUGUGGGAAAGCUGGACUGGUCCCACCUCACCCUUCUCACCUAAAAGUCUCCUAGAACAGGCUCCCUUUUGUAAGGGUGUAAUAAAAGGAUGGCUCACAGAAGAAAGAGCAGAGUGUAUUUAUUUGUACCUCUGAAUUCCUCCUCUGUGGGUACUGUAUAAAUACACAGACAAGCUUUUUUUUUUUUAAAUAUAACCGAAAGAUACUUAUGGUUUAUGGGUCAUUUCCCACUGCUUCUAUGUGUGUGUGUUUCAAGAGAUUCAGUUCAACAGAUAAAAUGGUGGUGUAACUUCCAAGAUCUAAAUUAUUCUUUAAUGCAGCUGUCUAAUAGAGCUAAGGCCAUUUAAAAAAGGAGCUGGCUGAAGAUGCAACUGCAAUUCAUCUUCCAAAAGUUUUGAAAUAAGUGUAAUAUUUGGCAAUCCUUGGCCAUCUUAUACUAAUCAAAUUUUCAGCUGAGAGGUUUAUAAAGCUUUUUCCUUAGUUGCUAAUCAGUUGUGUUGGUUUUAAUGAAGAAAGAUAGAUGUGUCCAUUAUAAAACACUAUUAGAAGAUAGAACAGGUGGCAGAACUGGCUGUAGAGAAAGACAUAUAAGAAUGUGCUUUAUUGAUCUCAGAUUAUGCUUGCUGUUCAGAAUUUAUUAGUAUCACAGUUUCUUCUUUAUUUCUUCUGCAGAAGGAGUCCAGAGACCUUAAAGAAGUAUUUCAAAAUGGCUAAACUAACAUUUUUCUUUACCUCUACCUGGCACAUUUUCAGAGAGAUACAUUUACUGGAUGGAAACUUCCUGCCUGGGCUGGCUGUCUGUUAGCGUGAGUAAUGAGCAAUCCAUCCAUCAUUAGGGCUAGCAAGUUUUCCAUUUCAUCCUCUUCCCUCUUUAAGUGCAUGAUUUAACUCACAGCACAUAAACAUUUAUGCAGCAACCUUGUAAAAGCAAAACUGUGCCUGGUAUUACGGUCAUAUUUGAGACAACUGUAGGCAGGUGGACAAACUCACUUGAAACCAAACUCAAGUUCAGUGAUUGUUCACAAUAUCUGACCUUUGUAUUCUGUGUCUGUGCCUAAUUUACAUUAAUCUCAUUAUUUUUUUUUCCCCUCCACGUGUACUUAUUUCAGACUUGGCACUGGCCGAAGGUAGAGCUGCUACAUGCUUAAGAAAAUAUUCUUUGGACAAGUAUGAGCUCUGGGGGAGGUUGCUUUUUCAACUAGGUCACAGACCUAAAGCUUAGGAUCUCCCAUCUUUGGCCCCCCGUCCUCCUGCAGGCUUCUUCCCAUGCUGACUCACAUGAGAGAUGCUGAGCAGCAAGAACCAAGUGGGUGCGCAGGAGUCUGGAGCCAGGAGAAUGGGGUACCAACACUUCAAUUAGCAGCCAGCAAUCACAGAUCUUGCCACAUGUCAACUCCACCAGCAAGUUUUCUCUUCAUGGGGAGGGGAAGGGGUGGCUGGUGAUACUUGAGCAUUCAGUGUUCAGCUCAGUGCAGAAACAACUUUCUGCUAGAGGGUGCCUGAAAUAUUUCUAGGUUUGUCUUUCCAGUGAGGUCUUUGGGUUUCCUUGUGUUCUUGCAGCACCUUGUUGCAGGUUAGGUCUAAGAUCUCUGAAUGCUGAGGCAUGCACAAGGGGCUCUGGAUGGCAGCGCUGCAACAAUGGUUGCAGACCUUUCUCUGUCAGGAAAAGCAACAGAUUUUACAGUUCAGAAGAGCGAGGCCUUUCUUGCACAGCAGGAAAUCCCCUAUAGUCAGUAUGAGUUUUCAGCCAUGAUUUUGGGGCUUUUCUUUGCCUUCUCAAAUGUUGGCAACCCCAUUCCAUGAACAGUGCACUUGGGGCACAGGGGGCCAGUUUCACCCAGUAACUCCAGUAUCCAAGGAGCUUCUCAUGGACUUUCACUGUCUGUGUUUUAACACAGCCUGGAGCUAAACAUGUGGCUUUACUCAGCGAACCUUAAUAUGCUCUCUGCCAGUCCUAAGAAAUCAACACUCCCCAUCCAUAACUAAAUCUGAUUUCUUUGCUCAUUCCCCAGAAUCCACUCCCAAGGCUCCCUGCUCUCUCGGUGCAAGCAGAGGGUAGUGACAGCCAGAACUGAACUGCAGGCAGAGCUGUGAGGCUGCACAACACAAUGCUUUUUCAAGGAAUACUCACUCAGCCAAGAAUACUUUAAAUACUCCACCUCCAUCACCUUUCCUUAAAAUUCAGAUUAUUAAUGAGUAAAACUUACAUUUGUAUUCCUCAGUGCUCUGCGUUAGAGGGAAACAAUAGCCAGGUCUCCCUCUCCUUCCUCCUGGGUGGGCAAGCAGCACAAUGCAAAAGCAUUAUCGCAUCAACUGCUGGGCUAAGAAGCUUGACCCAAAGCCCUGUGCCAGUGAAUUAUUUUCCCUUGACAUAUGGCUUAAGGCUGAAGGAUUUGAACACUUAAUUGGUGCACUUUCUGCAAGGCUUUAAAGGCUUGGCAAGGUGAGAUUCCUGCUAAUCAGUGAUACAGCUGGGAAACAGCUCCCGCUGUGCAUCACCAGCAGUCUCCACCUACAAGAAUUCAUUGAUCUCCUGGAGCUCAAGGGACUUGUAUUAUCUGAAGGUGUUAAAAUCAUUUCCAAGAGAAGCUGUCCAAAGAUUGUGUUUCAAACAUCCUUCAUAAUUCGUAUUCAUGGAGACAUGUAACAGCAUAGACCCACUAAUGUGCGUGAAAUAGAAUGCCUCGACUUUCUCUCUCACAUUAUUGUGAUAGGGUGUCUCUUUGUUAAUCAGGAAAACAAAACGUGUUCCCUGCAACUUUUGUCUUUUCCUGUAGGAAUUACCUCAGCUCUUCUCUAUAAGCAGAUAUUCACAAAAUUGACAUUUUUCCAGCACUAUUUUGUAAUUGAAAUUAACAACAACAACAAAAAUAAUAACCUAUCCCAAAAAUGUAUCAUUCGAUGAGAGAUUUGGGAAAUUAAAUCCUCAUCCAUUAUAAGCACCACUGGAAAUCAGUUAUCCUGAGCAUUUGCCUCCCAUUUUCAUCCUGCCAUUUUCCUGUAGUAAGACCUCUGACUUGCACAACAAUUUUUUCUGUAAUGCGCCACAUGUUUUGCCAGCAUUUUAGUUUCUCUACAACAUACUCCAUAAAUAAAUUACAUCACUUUCACUGUAACUGAUUCCCUUAUGCUAUCUUAUCACAAACCCUGUAAACUCAUUCCUGUGCUCCUGUGGACUGGAAGGAUCUCUGUACAUGGAGGAUAUUCAGGAGAGAUGGGUUAUUACUGCUAUUAUGGUUUUACAAGCAAAAGUAUCUUUCACUCUGAUUCUGCCAAAAUGUUCCUUUCAUGGAGAGGACAAUAAAAUGAAAGAGAGAAGUUACUGUGCCCAUUGGAGAGAAGAGACUCCCCUGAAGAAAGCUGCCUCCAGUCACCAACUUGUUCUUACAAGUGAGAAACGCUGCAUAAGAUUGAUACAGAUUCAACAUAAUAAGACUUCUUUGGAAGACAUUCCACAGACACUUGUCACUAAAUAAAGUCAAUCACAUCUCAUUCUCUUAGAUGCGGAAGAGUAAAAGGGGGAAACAGUGUUUGAAAGUGUUCAAAAAACAGAUGCUUAGGGCACUAGUGUAAAAAAGCCAAGUAUGACAAUAAACACACUUUCAUCUUUUAUGAUUUUA